GACAUAGGUGGCGAACGUUAUCCGGAUUUAUUGGGCGUAAAGGAUGCGUAGAUGGUGGAAUAAGUUAUUGGUCAAAGUCAAGCUCAACUUGGCGGAAGCUGGUAAUACUAUUCUACUCGAGGAUAGGAGAGGUUGGCGGAAUUCUGUGUGGAGCGGUGAAAUGCGUUGAUCUACAGAGGAACACCAAAAAAGGCGAAGGCGGCCAACUAUUCUAUUCCUGACAUUGAGGCAUGAAAGCGUGGGGAGCAAACCGG
rnacentral:rRNA from 1 species